rnacentral:tRNA from 1 species
AAUUAAUGAGCUUGCUAGAAGCAUUUGUUUUGAAAGCUUAAGAAAGAAUAUAUUAUUCUAUUAAUUU